AUUGAUCAGUGAUUUUGUGACGCUUUGAAAUCUGUAUACCUGUUAAGAUUUUUUUUUUUUGGUUUAAUUCUUUUUGGACUAGAAAAGUUGUUAGUUUCUUACGGUUGGGUUUUUUUUUCUGGGGUUUGCUGAAAAAGCGGCAUGUUGUCUUUUUCUUUAUGCAACUUUUGCUUUUUUGCUACCUUUCUUCUUGAACAAGACUCUUCGCUUGUGGUGUCAUUAGGAUUUGUGAUUACAUGUGAACUGUGGGCAAUGGCGAUCAAAGAAGUCUCUUUGUAGUGAAGCACCGUGAGAGAUGAAUAAAAGAUGGAUGAAGGGGUGCGGAUUUGAUAGAUCCAGUCCCAAAGAGGAAACUAUGCAGUGUGGAGAACGCAUGGUCCCUUCAUCGGAUUCUUUAGCUGACAAGGACUGCUCUAUUGGCGGGGGCUCUUCUCAAAAUUGUGGGGGUGAGCAAAAAAUCGAUAUGAGUAAUAUUGAAGAAGCUGAGUAUUCCCUGCGCGAGGGGGGUUGCCUGAAUCAUGAGGAAGCACGGGCAUUGCUUGGAAGGCUAGAAUACCAGAGAGGAAAUCUAGAAGCUGCACUUCGUGUAUUUGAUGGAAUAGACAUCAGUGCAGUUGCUCCUAAGAUAAAGAUUUCCAUCUCCAAGAAAGCAGCACGGCGCAAGUCUCAUUCCCACUGGGAUUCACCCCCUAUGUCAAUACAUGCUGUUAGUUUACUUUUUGAAGCAAUGUUUCUAAAGUCAAUAGCACUCCAUGACCUUGGGAGGUUUAAAGAAGCUGCUCAAUCUUGUAGCACUAUUCUGGACAUUGUAGAAUCUGCAUUACCUGAAGGCCUUCCAGAAAGAUUUGAUAUUAAUUGUAAGUUGCAAGAGAUACUCUGCAAGGCUGCAGAGUUUCUUCCAGAGUUAUGGAAAAUGGCAGGAUUUUAUCAGGAAGCAAUCUUGGCAUACCGGCGCGCUCUUCUCAAUAACUGGAACCUUGAAGCCGAGACUAUUGCAAAGAUGCAAAAAGAAUUUGCUAUUUUUCUUCUAUAUAGUGGAUGUGAUGCAUGUCCACCAAAUCUCCGAUCUCAAAUGAAUGGUUCCUUUACACCUAGAAACAAUGUAGAAGAGGCUAUCCUUCUGUUGAUGAUACUUUUGAGAAAGUUCGCUCUCAAGAGGAUCAAGUGGGAUCCAUCCAUUAUUGAUCACCUCACUUUUGCAUUAUCCAUAUCAGGGCAAUUGCGUGCUUUAGCCAGUCAGGUUGAGGAGUUACUUCCUGGUGUCAUGGAGAGGAAAGAACAUUACUACACUCUUGCCCUUUGUUACCUAGGGGAUGGUGAUGACCUAACUGCAUUAAAUCUACUAAAAAAGAUACUGAGUGCAAGUGAGGAUCCAAAUUGUCUUAAAGCACUGUUACUUGCUGCUAAGGUUUGUGGGGAGUAUGAUGCUUUCGCAGAAGAAGGUGUCUCCUUCUCGCGCAGGGCGCUUUCUAAUUUACAUGGUGUGUGUGGUCAAAUGGAAUCUGUUGCCAAUUGCUUGUUAGGCAUUUCUCUUUCAUCUGAGAGUAGAAUUUCUGUCUCUGAUUUAGAAAAAGAUUCUAGGCAGAGGGAGGCACUUGAAGUGCUUGAAAAGGCUGAGGAAGUGAUGCAAGGAAAAGACAGUAAAACCAUAUAUAACCUCAGCCUAGAAAAUGCGGAGCAGAGAAAAUUGGAGGCAGCACUUCGAUACGCAAAAAGAUUCCUGAAAAUGGAAGCUCAAUCAAGUAUUAAGGGAUGGAUUCUAUUGGCUCGAAUAUUGUCAGCGCAAAAGAAGUUUAUUGAUGCUGAGACUAUUGUUAAUGCUGCUCUGGAUGAGACUGUUAAGUGGAAUCAGGGGGAACUUUUGCGAACUAAAGCCAAAAUCCAAAUUGCACAAGGGAAACUGAAAAAUGCGAUCGAAACAUAUAAGGAUCUUCUCGCUGUUCUUCAACUUAAAAGGAAAAGCUCUAAUAUUGGAAUCAAGUCCUCAAAGGAAGAAAAAGAAGAGAGAAGUCUUGAAAUAGGAACAUGGUACGACCUGGCAAAUGUCUACAUAAGCACGUUGCAGUGGAAGGAUGCUGAGGAUUGUAUCACAAAAUUGAAAGCAGUCUGUCCUUAUGUGGCUUCAGCAUGGCAUGCCACAGGGAAGCUGCAUGAAGCAAAGGGCCUCCACAAAGAAGCUCUGAGAGCAUAUUAUAAAGCACUAGAUCUUGAUUCUACACAUGUCCCAAGCCUGGUUUCGGCAGCUACUAUUCUUAGACAGAUUGGUAGUCAUCCAUUAGCUGUUGUGAGAAGCUUCCUUACAGAAGCAAUACGGCUAGACCGAACUAAUCACAUAGCAUGGUUUAAGCUUGGUGAGCUUUAUAAUUCUGAGGGUGCAUCACCUGUUGAAGCUGCUGAAUGUUUUCAGGCUGCUGUUCUUCUAGAAGAGUCUGCACCAGUUGAACCUUUCAGAUGACUUCUUGAUCUAAUUGGGGGAUUUUACUCUAGGUGUAAAACAUAACUGAGGCUGACUACAGUCUCAGUUGUCUUUCGGGCUAGUUACUGGAUUUUGAUGUCUUCAUGGAUGAAGAAGUGAGCGAGAUAUAUAAGAAGGUAAAUUACAUCUACUGCGGCUGAUUCGCGACAGCUUGUUCCUGUCUACUUGUAGAAUCAGAGGCCUUGAAGAAGCAUUUUUGAAAGCAUCUACAGUAUGCCCGCCAUUGUUCACGCCGCGAAUGGAGGUUCAUCAAGUCCGAAGGGUUGGACUUUGGAGCCAGAUAUUUUGAAGUGGUGAAUUUGGUCGACAAUUUUAUAUGUCCUUGGAUUGCCCUCUAACUUGUAAAAAAAAAUAGACUUGGACGGCAUUCUGUACAUAUUUCAAUGACUAUAAACUCGCCACGUAUUUAGAGUUGCUGAACAUUUUCUCUCCUCUUCUUAACGUCAAGAGGCAGUUGUUGUGUUUUUGUUUGUGUAACAACAGUACUUGUGAUGGGUGCAAAUAUGUUUUUUGAA